ensembl:lincRNA
GGCAGGGCUUGAACUUAGAGUAAGGGUUUGGGGAAAAUGCACCUGGGAGCAUGGCUGUUUUCCUCAGAAUCCAAUUCCAGCUUACCACUCUAUUCUGCCUCAAUUCCAAUACAGCCCAUGGCCUCAUCCAGGUCUAAGAAGAGCAGGGUCAGGCUUCAUGGUGCAUCCUGUGGGCCUGCUCCCUCCUGCUGGAUGUCAUCACCCAGGAGACUAUCUGAGAGGAAGCUGUUGACUCUUGACCAUGGACUGUUGAUUCUUGACCUGGCCCUGUGACAGUGGGCCUUUGCCACACCUGGCCCCAGCCACACCUGCAACAGGUACAGACCAGGGCAGUUCAGGAGCCAUCUAGGCACCUCUCGGCUGGCCGGCCAGUCUCAGGGACGACUCCCUGCCACUGCAGGCCUCAGUGGGCUGUAGGAGGGCCAGAAACUCCCUCAUACCAGCAUGUUUUUAAAAAAUGCUUUCAAUUUAGACAUUUUUAAACAAGCCAGUGCCAGGAAGUGCUUUUCCUUCUGAGCCAAGAGAAAGAAGACACAUCUACUGGGAGCCUCUGAUUAACUGACUGAGAGAAAAUUCACCCACUUGCUGUCUGCUAAAUUUCUGUUUGUUUCUGCUUUGAGGUUCUUGGGUGCUCAGAAAGCUCUGAGCAGCCCAGUUGCAAAGGGACUGUGCUCUUUGGCUGGGAGGCCUCCUUUUCUCCUCUUCCCCUCCCAGGGCAGAAGCUGGAACUUGCCUGAGAGUCAAGGACAAGCCCAGCUCAUGGAAGUUAUCAUGCAGAUACCACUGGGAGCAUCCAACCAGACAAGUGCCACCUCCCUCCUGAAUGAUCCCCUGGGAGAGAGGAACAGCACCAACUCCACCAGGGCUCUGCAGCUGCUGGAGGGGAUGAGUGCGGCCUGGUACAUCCUCACCAUCAUCGGCUUCUUUGGAGUGAUUUUCCUCUUCCAGUUGGCCAGCAACAUCCUUAGGAAGAACGAUAAGUCUUUGGAAGAUAUUUAUUAUUCCAAUUUGACCUUUGAGCUCAAAAAGAAAGGGCUCCAGAGCAAGGUGGACAAAUAUUCCUCACUGAUCAUUAGCAAUACAGCUGUCCUGCAGCCUAUCCAGGCCAGCCUGGUGUCAAAGGGCGGAAACAGUGGGCCCCAAACUGGAGCCCAGGGGAGUCCUUGAAAGUCAAGCCAGCAGAUCUCCAAUGGGAGGCUCCAACCUCUUUUGAAGAAGGAGUAGUAGCUUUGGGUUUCCUGGAACCUGAAGAAAGGGGUUGAGCCCUUGAAUGGGGCUAAAAGAGCAUCAGCAUGCUAAGGGCACUUCUGACUGAUGGGCAGGGGGCCAGACACCAGUAGUUUAUAUUUCUGCAAGACUUUCUGACACUUUAGGGUGGGGAUAGCAGAAGCCAUACUUUCCUGUCCCUAGCAAACCCUGUGCUAUAGGGAAGGGUGUAUGCACCCAGUGUUCUCAGAGGAACCCAGGAUACUCUAAGGAAACAGGUGGGUUCUUGCCAUGGAAAGAAGGCGGAAUUGGAGUGAAAUGCUCUAGAUUAAAAUUCAACUUCUAGAGAGAGGUCACAUAAAGUUUAAGUGGCUGGUUGCUCACCUGGAACCUUUAGAAGUUGGGAUAGAUGGAACCAAAGGACCAUUGAAUUUUGAAGAGCCAGUGUUUUUUGUUGUUGUUUUUGUUUUUGGUACCAGGGAUCGAACUCAGGACCUUGAGCUUGUGAGGUAGGCAGCAGCACCACUGAGCUGCAUCCCAGGCCCACAGGGCCAUUUCAUUUUAAAGACUCUGACUCCACUGAAUUCAGAACCAAAGUUGUUUAUAUCAGAAGUUACAGAUUCUUUGUUUUCACUGAGUGGAGUGCACUGGGAAAUACACUUUUUAGACUCAGAUGCUCUGGACUCUACUCCGGACUUGAGUCUCACUGCUUUCGUGUCUGUGUACACAAUCAUCCCACCUCUCUGGAAUUUAGUUUACAGAUAAAAUGAGAAGAGCAAUGCCAGAUUGGCCAACUUUACCCCGCAGAUAAGAUCUGAUGAGAUCAUGUGUGUGAGUGUAUUUUGAAAAGCAAAAUAAGUGUAUACAUGUAAGUGUUGCAACGGUGGUGAUGAUUUUGACCGUGAUAGUUGAUGCUGACGAUGGUGGUGUUGGCAGGGCUGGUUGUUGGUGGUGGUGGUAAAGGUUGGUGUUGACGUGGCGUUGGUGGUUGGUGGUACAUCUGAGUCAUGGUGGUGGAGGUUGAGGAGAACGGAGGCUUGGUGUGGUGAUUCACGUUGCUGUUGGUGGUGGAGUGAUGCUAUGGUGGAACAGGAAAUGACUCAGCCAUUAGCAACCAGUCUUUAAACCACGGCUACUUGCUUUGUUCUGUAGGAGAACCCAUCUGUGUAUCUGUUGAUGCCCCAUGUGUGAGUUUGUAACCGGCAGGGCAAAAUGGAACUUUAAGAGUUAGAAUUUUUUCCUCUAGAGACAAGCUGUUUCUUCAAAUCUCCUUAGGGCCUCCUUUCAUCCCUCCUUCCUCAGCCCAGGUGAUUGGGUAGCAUUUGAAGAUGUUGACUCCGGGUGGCCAGAGUCCACUUUCCUUUUCACAGGGAAGGAAAGAGCAGGACAAGGCCAGUAGGAAUGAAGCAAGCCUGGGAUUGUCCGUGGUCUCCUUGUAUUCCUCCCAUCUCUGUUCCUUACUAUAAAAGGCCCUUGCACACCUGGACACAGUGAAAUGAUUUGUGGCAAUAUAAGCCCCCCCCAUCUCUUUGGAGCUAGCUUCAAAUAAAGCCUUUUUCCUUUUCACCAAACGUGUGGCCUCCCAUGGUUUGUUUGAAGAGCUGCGAGCAAAGGGAGCUGUAUGACUGGUAACAGACUGAAUCUAUAAGAUUAAGGUUUUAGCCAGGCGUGGUGGCGCACGCCUGUAAUUCCAGCACUCCGGAGGCUGAGGCAGGAGGAUCGCUGUGUGUUCAAGACCAGCCUGGGCUACAUAGUGAGUUCCAGGUCAGUCUCAACUACAUAGAGAGACCCUGUCUCAAAAACAAAAGAAAAAAGAUUCAGGUUUUACUGAUAGAACAGUAACUACCUUCGCAUUUCAUGACUUUAAAUAAUAAUGUG